rnacentral:rRNA from 1 species
CUACGGGGGGCAGCAGUGAGGAAUUUUGCGCAAUGGGCGAAAGCCUGACGCAGCAACGCCGCGUGAGUGAUGAAGGCCUUCGGGUCGUAAAGCUCUGUCAAGUGGGAAGAACCUAUGUAAUGUUAAUAUCAUUAUAUACUGACGGUACCACUGAAGGAAGCACCGGCUAACUCCGUGCCAGCAGCCGCGGUAAUACGGGGGGUGCAAGCGUUAUUCGGAAUCAUUGGGCGUAAAGGGCACGUAGGCGGCCUGGUAAGUCAGAUGUGAAAGCCCGGGGCUUAACCCCGGAAGUGCAUUUGAUACUGCCAGGCUUGAGUAUGGGAGAGGGAAGUGGAAUUCCUGGUGUAGAGGUGAAAUUCGUAGAUAUCAGGAGGAACACCGGUGGCGAAGGCGACUUCCUGGACCAAUACUGACGCUGAGGUGCGAAGGCGUGGGUAGCAAACAGGAUUAGAUACCCGUGUAGUC